CGGGGUGUAGCACAGUCCGGUUAGUGUGCCUGCUUUGGGAGCAGGAGGUCGCAGGUUCGAAUCCUGCCACCCCGAC
rnacentral:tRNA from 1 species